rnacentral:rRNA from 1 species
AUACGGAGGAUCCGAGCGUUAUCCGGAUUUAUUGGGUUUAAAGGGUGCGCAGGCGGGUGAUUAAGUCGGCGGUGAAAUUUUGCAGCUCAACUGUAAAAAUGCCUUCGAAACUGGUUUCCUUGAGUGUAGAUGGAGUAGGCGGAAUUUGUGGUGUAGCGGUGAAAGGCAUAGAGAUCACGAGGAACUCCGAUUGCGCAGGCAGCUUACUAAACUACUACUGACGCUCAGGCAAGAAGGCGUGGGGAACAAACAGGAUUAGAUACCCUGGUAGUCCACGCAGUAAACGAUGAUUACUAGUGGUUGGCGAUACACAGUAAGCGGCUUAGCGAAAGCGUUAAGUAAUCCACCUGGGGAGUACGUUCGCAAGAAUGAAACUCAAAUGAAUUGACGGGG